rnacentral:lncRNA from 1 species
CCAACUAUACAUUAUAUACUAUGAAACAGUCUCUUUCACUUCAACAGGCUUUUCCAAGUAUCUCAAAAUCAAUGGUCUCCCAAAAGGAAAAAAACAUGACAAAAUAUAUGAGUUUGUAACUCAGUGAGUGGAUAGUUUGCAAAUAAGUAAUCUUUUCCAUUUAUACACAUUUCUAAAAAUUCUAACUUUAUUAAAUGUUUGAAAAAUUCUGAAUUUAGUAUACUUUAAAAACUAAACAUGAUCAUAUCAUAAAAUUCUUUGUUCUUAAUUUUAGAAAAGCAACUGUAUAAUAUAAUGAGUAUAAAUAAUUUCAUGUCCAUAAAAAUCUUUGAAAUAUUGCUAUUCCUUAAUACUAUAAGCUGAAAGCUUUAUCUUGAAAACUGAAUUCUAUAAUCUGAAAACUGAAAAGCUGUAGAAAUAUUGAAAAAUCACACCAAAAAGAUAUCCUAUGAAUAGCUUUACUCAUGUACAGAGUAAUCUCGAUGUACAAGGCAAGCUCAUUCACAUCUGAUAAUCUGGUCAUACGUACGCAGAGCUGCCCUAAAGGCUAAUCACCCUAGUAUACGACCCAAAGCCUAUAUAUGUACGAGUGUAGGUCCCAAAGACCUCUGAUAAUCUGGUCAUACACUAUGGAAACGUAUUCACAAUAGUGUAGAGCGGGUAAAAUUACCAUAAUUUAUCAUACACUGUGGAAAACACAUUCACACCAGUGCAGAUUAGGAUAAAAUCAUAUGGGUACUUUCUGGUAGUUUUAAAAAUAACUUUAAUUAUGCUGAAAUAUUUAAUAUUCAUAUAACUUGCUAAUCAAAUGAUUUUACUAAACUAAAUUUAACUUUAAAAAUAACUAAUUAUAAAUCCACUUUAUUAUAAAAAUUAUGCUAUCAAAUCAACUGUAUGAAAUAAUAAAUUUUCUAAUCUAACAUAAAUUUAAUAAAUAUUAAUUUUUGAAAAAUAAGUUUUAUAUUCACUUACAAAGUAUGAGCUACAAGCUAGACUGCCUGAUAAACGUUUCCAAUCUCCUCGUCACCACCUAAAACACGACAUUAAUGACCAAUUUAUCCACUAUCAAAACAAGAAACCUUUAAUAACUAAUGAUAGUACUUAAAUUAAAUUUCUCGAUACUUGAAUAAAUUUCCUAACUUUUUCUUUGAUCCAUUGGUAGUAAUUGCACUUUCUGAUCCAUGGUUAAUAAAUAUUUCAUCAACAUAACCUUCAUUCCACGCAUUACUGUGAUGACCCACUUCAUUCUAGUGACAACUAGUCGCUAUAAUUCGAUCAAUUAAAUUUUCCUCUUGUUACAUAAAUUCAUACUUCCAAAUUAUUUCCACAUCACUAUCAUUUCCACAAACACUACUUAAUCCAAAAAUCACAAAUGAAAUUUCUAGGAUUUGCUAAAAAUAAUAUUCCUUACUUUGCAAAAAUGGGAAAUGAAGUAAUCCCUAAGCUUGAGCUCCAAUUCGUACUUAUCUCACCUAAAUUUGAACAUUUUCACUACAAGUUAAAACCCUAGAAAUUUAACAUAAAUCAUGCCUUUAUCACUUGGAAGAAAUGGAUAUAUUAAAUUCAAAAUUGAAGAGAUUAACCUUACCUCUCUUCUUCUUCUUCCCUUUUUCCUCUCUCUCUCUCUCCCCCCUUUUCUCCUCCCUUUCUUGGCUUCUCUGGUCUCUGCCCG